UACGGAGGGUGCAAGCGUUGUUCGGAAUUACUGGGCGUAAAGAGUGUGUAGGCGGUGUUCUAAGUCUGGUGUGAAAUCUCCCGGCUCAACUGGGAGGGUGCGCCGGAAACUGGAAUGCUCGAGUAUGGGAGAGGUAAGCGGAAUUCCUGGUGUAGCGGUGAAAUGCGUAGAUAUCAGGAGGAACACCGGUGGCGAAGGCGGUUCUCUGGGCAACAACUGACGCUGAGGAGCGAAAGCGUGGGGAGCGAACAGG
rnacentral:rRNA from 1 species